AAAGUCUACCUUGUCAACAGUGCAUUCUAGGAUACAACAUACAAGCCUCACUCCGCGGACCUUCCUUGAUCCGAAAGCUCAACUCAAAAGUCCAUUGUUUUCGCGAAUGAAAUCAAUCAAUAAAAACUGAUGAACCAGGCCAUCACCAUGGCCGGCGGCGGUCACUCUGCUUACACACCACGCCGAGCCACCCACUAAAGCGUCGCCGUGAAAAACUACCAAACCCCUUCACUGCUCCCUCCCAUCCAAAACCCUAACCCUACAGCCACCGCAGUGGCUGGCCAUGGGGGCGCCGCGCGAGCUCGAGCUCUCCGACGAGGUGGAGGGCGAGGAGGACGGCACCACCGACUUUGUUUUCCGCCUUGCCGGUGACCCCAUCCCGCUCCUCCCGACCGACUCCAACCCGCUCCCGCUCUUCGACCUGCUGUCCCCUCCCGCGCGCCCGCUCGCCGUCUCCGACCGACACGCCACCGUCUUCCUCGCCCACCCCAGCGGGUUUAUAGCUGUGAGGACCAAGGAGUUAAUCGAAGCCAGCAAGGAGGCGCGCGAGAAGGGCAAGUCGAGCACUCGCUGCGCGCAGGACUGCUGCGUCGCCGACGUGCCCCUCCCCGGUGUAUCCCUUAUCGCGCUCUCCCAUGAUGAGUCCGUGUUAGCCGCCUGCACACAUACUGAGAUCCAGUUCUUCUCGCUGGCGUCUCUGCUCACACAUAAGGACGUGGUACCAUCCUCAUCAUGUAGCCUGGAACGAGCUGUCACUGUGAAAGAUUUCAAGUGGUUAAAUCAUGCCUCUGCAGCAUAUAUUGUACUCUCAAAUGGUGGGUUGCUGUGUCAUGGGAAUUUGGGUGAAGGCCUGAAAGAUGUGAUGGAAAACGUCGAUGCAGUUGACUGUUGCAAAGAAGGAAAUCAUAUUGCUGUUGCAAGAGGGAACAAACUUACCAUAUUAUCACCAGAUUUUACGGAAACAUGCUCCAUGUCCCUCUUGUUCCAGUUGUGGUCUGACGGAAGUGAUUCAAAGGGCACUACCAUCAAAGUGGAUUCUAUUGGCUGGGUACAUGGUGAUAGUAUUGUUAUUGGGUGUGUUCGAUUAAACGAAGAUGACAAUGAAGAAGGAUACCUUGUUCAAGUUAUAAGGACUGAAGAAAGCACAUUUUGUGAGAGCCCAGGCAAGACAGAUGUUUAUACCUAUAACGAUUUUUUCCAUGGCAUUAUGGAUGAUGUUUUACCACCCGGAGCUGGACCUAAUCUUCUUUUGGGUUAUCUGCAUCGCUGGGGUCUCAUGGUGGCUUCCAAUAAAAAGAGCGUCGAUGAACACAUUGCCCUUCUUAAGUGGCCAUCUGCACAUGAUGAUGAAAAAACUGUAACAUAUCUUGAAAUGUUGGAGGAUAAAUACAGUCCUAGGAUUGACUUGCAAGAGAAUGGCGAUGACAAUGUCAUACUAGGGUUUGGUGUUGAGAAUGUUUCAUUAUUUCAAAAGAUCACUGUACCAGUUGGACCUGAACAAAAGGAGGUUGCCCCUCAACAUAUUCUCCUAUGUUUGACUGGUGAGGGCAAAGUAGCUGUAUAUUACCUCGCCAGGAUUUCGGACCCUUCUGAUUUACCUCAUGCUACUGUGUCUACCAAUGAGGACUAUGGUGAAAAACAUAUUUCACCUGCAACUGUAUCUGAAAAGGAGUUGACUCCAAGUGUUGCAGGCUCAGUAUAUAAGAGUACUCUCACAGAACAUGGUGCUGAGCCAUCUAGUGCGCAAACAGGUAGCAACCAGCAGGAAUCAAUAAAUGUGAAAAACAGUAGCUCAGCUUCAAAAGAACAGGAAACAACUGACAAUUCAUUGUUUAUCUCUUCCAAUAAGAAGCCCUUAGACACCAAGCAAGUGAAUGUGACUGGUCCACCUGCAGCCUUGCGUAGCUUAGCGUUAACAGGAAACACAAAACCUACAAUAUUUUCCAGCUUUUCUACUGAAGGCAUGAAUCCAACAGGAGGCAAUGCACCUAAUGAAUUAGCUUCUUCCUUGCAACCAAGCAGCAGAAGUUUUGGAAACAACCAAACUGGUAAAGAAGGCCUGGAUUCAGUUCAAUCAGUGGGAAUAUUUGGUGGAUCUCAAAACUCCAAUAAAGAUGGCAAUGUCUAUGGUUUCAAGUCUUCAUUAUUCACCUCUAGUGGAUCUGUCCCUGCCAAGAUCGGAGAAAGGAAUGAGGUUGGUUUUGGAGUUCCUUCGCUGCAAACCAGUUACACCGCUGAUAGAAAAGUUUUUGGUGCUCCAGUUGCCUUAAGCUCUGUACCUUCAUCAUCUAUAUCUCCGGCUAAACCUUCCCCAAUUGGAUAUUCAUCAAGUGGAUUUCGGACAGCAAACUCUGAAGCACCUCAAUCAUUGCGUGGAUCACCUCCGUCACAGCAAUCUAUGGGCAAAUCACAUAACAGCAGGACACAAGCACCGGCAGAAUAUUCUAGAAACUCCAAGAAGGGCACAGGAUUCGAUUCUGAACAAGACUUGUCUAAAAAAUUUUACAGUAUAAAUGAAAUGACGAAGGAGUUAGAUGCCCUACUAGCAUAUAUAGAAAAGGAUGGUGGUUUUAGAGAUGCCUGCAUAACCAUCCAACAGCGUCCUCUUUCUAUGUUUGAGGAUGGCUUACAAAACUUUUUGCAGCUGUUGCAGGUCUUCAAGGGCAAAGUAGAGGAGCAAUGUUCAAAAAUUGAAGAUCUGAGGAACAACAUGUUUCAAGUUUCUGCUAGGCAAACUUACAUGAAAGGAAUUGUUAGCCAGUCUUCAGAUAAUCAGUACUGGGAUAUAUGGAACCGUCAGAAAUUGAGUCCAGAAUUCGAAGUGAAGAGACAAAAUAUUCUCAGAGCUAACCAGGAUUUGACAAAUCAGCUGGUUGAGCUGGAGAGGCACUUCAAUAAUCUGGAGAUGAACAGAUCCAGUGAAACAGGAAGAGUGGCUUCUAAUCGAAGAGCUGUUUAUUCUAACAAGACAAGUUCGAGUCAGACACAAUUAUCCAGUGUAUAUAGUGCACUGAACUCGCAGUUGGCAGCUGCUGAGCAGCUAUCUGAAUGCCUUUCAAAGCAGAUAUCUGUGUUAAAUAUUGGUUCUCCUAGUAGGAAGCAGGGGAUGGUGACCAAAAAGUUGUUUGAGUCAAUUGGUUUAGCCCACACAACUGAUGCAACCAAAUUUUCAGGCAGCACUCCUAAGCCAGUUAAGCGGUUUCCAUCAGUGAAUGAGCAUUCAAAGGGAAUAUUAGGGUCUUCCAAGGGUGGUGAGCCUGAGACUGCUCGAAGGAGGAGGGAAUCACUGGAUAUGAGCCUGGCUAGUUUGGAACCUCAGAAAACAACUGUUAAAAGAAUAACACAGCAACAACGCCUCAAGAUCAGCAGUGAUCUACCAUUCAGGUCAAACAAGAAAAUAUUUGAUUCUCAAAUGGCAGCAAUAUCACAGGAAAAGUCAAGCGAUAGCUCCAAUUCAUCUAUAGUAGAAUCAUAUGUAAGCAGACUGCGUUCUCUGAGUGAAGAUGUAAACGAUAAACUGUCAGGACCCCAACAGAACCCUUUGUUCAAAUGGGUAAAGGAAUCAACUGGGUCAUCUCAAACCUCAGAGCAAAAGCAUUUCGAGUUACCAGGGCAAAUGAAAAGUACUGCACAGUCUUCAAAACUGACACCAUCUUCACCACCAUCAUUCAGUUACACACGUAUGGGUGCACAAGAUAGUAUCAACCCAUCCAGUGUUCCAUCCUUUGGAACAAAACAUACUGUGUCUAAGCCAAAUACUCUAACCUUCAAAACCACUAUAAGCCCUAAAAGUAAUGCCAACACAGAGCCAAAUAUAUUACCUUCUAUAACAGCUCCAAAAACUUCUCUAAGUCCACUGUCUGUAAAAACUGCUGGGGAGUCUGGAGAUUUGCCUACAUUAACUAUGAAGAACAGACAGGAUGGUCAGUCAAUGCCAUCUUUGGGGAACAUAAAAGGACCGGGUGCUUCUCUGCAGAACAAGGGUGGCAUAUUUAGAGAUCUCGACAAAUCGUCUUUUAAUUCUGAACAUUCCAAGCCUGCUGCAUUACAUGAGAAGACUGACCAGCUAAGUGGGGUUGGCGAUGCUGUGCAGAACACUGUGAAAGAUACCUCCAAAAUGGCACCUCAACCUUCUGCUUUCUUGCCAGCUCCUGUUACUCAGACCAAUUCAUACUCCUUAAGGCCGACUGUUUCUUCUUCAGCCACAUCAGGUGCGAAAACUUCAGAUGUUUUAUCUAGCUCAAUGCAGAAAGUUUCUCCAAUAGUACCUGGGGGUACUGUGUCUAGCUCAGUCCCUACUCCUGCUAAGGAUUCAUCAACUGGAUUGAGUCAAAAUGCUUCCAAACCUGAAACGCUAAUAUCAAAGGUAACUAGUACCAUAGUUUCUGCAAGUUCGACUUCUGUCAUAUCAGUCACUGAAAGCAAACCUUCAGUGCCUCCAACAACUGGCGCCAGCUUGCCUUCUACUCAUGUCUCUGCUCCUCAAACAGCACCAACAACAUCGGAAUCAGUUUUCACUUCCACAGGAAAAAAUGUAGGACCAAACACUGACACCAUCUCAACCGAUGAAGAUGACAUGGAAGAGGAGGCACCUUCUGCAAGUGCCGAACUGAACUUGGGAGCCCUUGGUGGAUUCGGCCUUGGGUCCCAGCCUUCUUCAAGUCCUCAAAAGUCUAAUCCUUUUGGUGCCUCCUUUGGUACAUCUGGCAAUAAAAGUUCAGGCACACCAUUUACUUUGACAACCAGUCCAGGACAGCUUUUCCGGCCAGCGUCGCUAAGCAUUCCUUCAGCUCAGCCAGCCCAACCAUCUCAAUCAACUAGUUCUAGUUCUUUUUCUAAUUCGUUCUCAAGUGGGCUUACUGGAUUUGGACAGCCUGCACAAAUUGGAUCUGGCCAGCAGUCAGCUUUUGGGAAGCCUGCACAGAUUGGAGCUGGCCAGCAUGCAGGAUUUGGGCAGACUGCCCAAAUUCAAUCUGGUUUUGGCCAGCCUGCCCAAAUUCAAUCUGGUUUUGGCCAGUCAGCACAAAUCGGAACUGGGCAACAGUCAGGAUUUGGGAAGCCUGCACAAAUUGGGGCUGUCCAGUCAGGAUUUGGGCAGCCUGCACAGUUUGCUGCUCAACAGACACUUGGAUCAGUGCUGGGUUCUUUUGGACAACCUCCCCAGUUAGGAGGCAUAGGUUCUGGAGGAUUUGGUGGAUUUUCAAGUGCUUCUACAUCUGCUGGUUUUAGUUCUUUAUCUUCAGGUAAUGCUGGAUUUGCUGGUGCUGCAUCAGGUGGGGGCUUUUCAGCACCAACUGCUUCUGCAGGUGGUGGUUUUGCUGCUGCUGCUACUGGUGGAGGUUUUGCUGCUCUUGCUUCCAAAAGUGGUGGUUUUGUUGGUGCAGCUUCAUCUGGUGGUGGUUUUGGAGGUGCCUCCCAGGGAGGUGGCUUUGGCAGUGAUUCAUCGCCUUUGCCAUCUCGGUGUAAAGCAAAAGCAAUGUGCCUAGAAAAUCCAAAAUGACUUAUAAUUUGCAAUCGGCGGAGUACAAUCUUUGGUGCUUUGGAGCCGAAUUUUAAUUUCGGAUGGAGUGGUGGUGGAUUCGGAUCCUUUGGUGGUAAUCAAGGAGCUGGGUUCUCGGCAUUUGGAGCAAGUGGGGCUGGAAGACCGGCAGCUGAUUUCUUGACGCAGAUGAGAAAGUAGGCUCCAGGCAAAUCCCCAGACAGGUUUACGCAUUAGCUAUAGCAUACACAUGAGGCGAGUUACUUUUAUGUUCCACUCUUAAGCGUUGUUUCGGCACAGGAGCUGUAGCAUAAACAUGACCGCAGUAUACCCUGGACUGGAUGAGCCCUCGCUUCGCUCCAUCUAUUGAUGAUGGAGGGGGGCUACCAUUUGGGAGCCUUAUUGUUUUCUCUUCUUUUACAAGACACAGCAGGUGUCAACAGCAGCAUCGACGGUUGGUCUUGGAUUCCCUA